rnacentral:rRNA from 1 species
GAUGAACGCUAGCGACAGGCCUAACACAUGCAAGUCGAGGGGCAGCAUAAAGGUAGCAAUACUUUGGUGGCGACCGGCGCACGGGUGAGUAACACGUAUGCAACCUACCUGUAAGAGGGGAAUAACCCGGAGAAAUUCGGACUAAUACCGCAUAAUACCACGAAGCUGCAUGGCUUUGUGUUUAAACAUUUAUGGCUUACAGAUGGGCAUGCGUAUGAUUAGAUAGUUGGUAGGGUAACGGCCUACCAAGUCAACGAUCAUUAGGGGUUCUGAGAGGAAGGUCCCCCACACUGGUACUGAGACACGGACCAGACUCCUACGGGAGGCAGCAGUGAGGAAUAUUGGUCAAUGGGCGAGAGCCUGAACCAGCCAAGUCGCGUGAAGGAAGAAGGUUCUAUGGAUUGUAAACUUCUUUUGUAAGGGAAUAAAAAAGGUUACGUGUAACCUAUUGUAUGUACUUUACGAAUAAGGAUCGGCUAACUCCGUGCCAGCAGCCGCGGUAAUACGGAGGAUCCAAGCGUUAUCCGGAUUUAUUGGGUUUAAAGGGUGCGUAGGCGGACCCGUUAGUCAGUGGUGAAAGUUUGCAGCUCAACUGUAAAAUUGCCAUUGAAACUGCGGGUCUUGAGUGUAAAUAAGGUAGGCGGAAUGUGUUGUGUAGCGGUGAAAUGCUUAGAUAUAACACAGAACACCAAUUGCGAAGGCAGCUUACUGGGAUACAACUGACGCUGAGGCACGAAAGCGUGGGGAUCAAACAGGAUUAGAUACCCUGGUAGUCCACGCAGUAAACGAUGAAUACUAGCUGUAUGCGAUAUACUGUAUGUGGCAAAGCGAAAGCGUUAAGUAUUCCACCUGGGGAGUACGUUCGCAAGAAUGAAACUCAAAGGAAUUGACGGGGGCCCGCACAAGCGGAAGAACAUGUGGUUUAAUUCGAUGAUACGCGAGGAACCUUACCCGGGCUUGAAAUGCAGACGACCGAUCGGGAAACCGAUUUUCCAGCAAUGGCGUCUGUGUAGGUGCUGCAUGGUUGUCGUCAGCUCGUGCCGUGAGGUGUCGGCUUAAGUGCCGUAACGAGCGCAACCCUUAUCAUUAGUUGCCAGCGGGUCAAGCCGGGAACUCUAAUGAGACUGCCACCGUAAGGUGUGAGGAAGGUGGGGAUGACGUCAAAUCAGCACGGCCCUUACGUCCGGGGCGACACACGUGUUACAAUGGGGGGUACAGAGGGUCGCUACCUGGUGACAGGAUGCUAAUCUCAUAAAGCCUCUCUCAGUUCGGAUCGGAGUCUGCAACUCGACUCCGUGAAGCUGGAUUCGCUAGUAAUCGCGCAUCAGCCAUGGCGCGGUGAAUACGUUCCCGGGCCUUGUACACACCGCCCGUCAAGCCAUGGAAGCCGGGGGGACCUGAAGUACGUAACCGUUAAGGAGCGUCCUAGGGUAAAACCGGUAACUGGGGCUAA